rnacentral:misc_RNA from 1 species
CGGAAGUAAAAGUCGUAACAGUUUCGUAGGUGAACCUGCGGAAGAUCAUUAUAAUGUCUACGUUUUUUAAGUAGACGCUUAAUAAUCCUACCUUUGUGAAUUUGUUGUUUGAAAUAAUUUUUUUUAAAUUAUUGAUGUCUUUCCCUGUUGAAUUGGUUGUCUAAUGGCAAAUGAUUCGCAGGGAGUGUCAGUAAUUUUAAAAGACCUUUUUAAAAUUAAACUUUUUGUAUUCAUUGUCUAAAUUAUUUUAUAAUAUAAAAACAAUUUGACAAUGGAUCUCUUGGUUCUCGCAACGAUGAAGAACGCAGCAAAUGCGAUAAGUAGUGUGAAUGCAGAAUACGUGAAUCAUCGAAUCUUCGAACGCAUAUUGCACUUUUUAGUUUACUAAAAAAGUAUGUCUGUUUGAGUAUCAGUAAAAUUCUCAUAAAACUUUUGUUUUAUGUUAUGAGUGUUUUACAACGGUACAAGUUGUUCACUUAAAUUUUUUUAAAUUUGAUUUUUCUAAUUUUAAAUAAAUUGGAUAAAAUUUUCCCGUAAAAAGGAAUAACCUAACAAUUUUAAUUUUGAUUAGAAUCUUCAAUUAUAAGGAAAUUAACUAAUAACUUGAUCUCAAUCAGAUAAGAGUACCGCUGAACUUAAGCAUAUCAAUAAGCGGAGGAAAAGAAACUAACAAGAUUCCUUAGUAACGGCGAGUGAAGCGGGAAGAGCUCAAUUUGAAAUCUUCAAGGUUUACCUUGACGAAUUGUAGUUUAAGAAGUGUUUCUGUUGAAGUUUGGUAAAGUUCUUGGAAUAGACAUCAUAGAGGUGAGAAUCCCGUAUUUGACCAUUAUUUUCAGCUGUGUGAUACACUUUCAAAGAGUCGAUUGUUUGGGAAUGCAGUCCAAAAUGGUGGUAAUUUCAUCUAAAGCUAAUAUUGGCGAGAGACCGAUAGCGAACAAGUACGUGAGGGAAAGAUGAAAGAACUUUGAAAGAGAGUUAAACAGUACGUGAAUUGUCAGAAGGAAGCGUUUGACACCAGUGUUGUUUCUCGAAAUCAAUUAAAAAAGUUGGAUUUUGUGUUGUAUUGACCUUAACAGCUUGCUUCACUCUUUUCUUGUUUUUUAAUGCACUUUCGUUAACAAGUCACAUCAGUUCUUUUGUUGUAAAAGGUCAUUGGAAGGUGGCUUUCUCUUCGGAGAAGUGUUUAUAGCUUUGAUCUCUGCAAUCGGAGAGACUGAGGUCUGCAGCGUAGAUCCUUCGGGUUAGAUACAUUUGUGCAAGCUACAGCUUUUCAUAGACAACUUGUUGACUAUGUUUAGUCUUGUAACUUACCCGCUUAUGCUAUUUACUACGCUUAGGAUGUUG